rnacentral:tRNA from 3 species
GGGGCUGUAGCUCAGUGGAUAGAGCGUCGGUUUCCUAAACCGUGCGUCGGCGGUUCGAGUCCGCCCAGCCCCA